rnacentral:rRNA from 1 species
GAUGAACGCUGGCGGCGUGCAUAAUACAUGCAAGUCGAACGAACAGAUAAGGAGCUUGCUCCUUUGACGUUAGCGGCGGACGGGUGAGUAACACGUGGGUAACCUACCUAUAAGACUGGGAUAACUUCGGGAAACCGGAGCUAGUACCGGAUAACAUUUGGAACCGCAUGGUUCUAAAGUGAAAGAUGGUUUUGCUAUCACUUAUAGAUGGACCCGCGCCGUAUUAGCUAGUUGGUAAGGUAACGGCUUACCAAGGCGACGAUACGUAGCCGACCUGAGAGGGUGAUCGGCCACACUGGAACUGAGACACGGUCCAGACUCCUACGGGAGGCAGCAGUAGGGAAUCUUCCGCAAUGGGCGAAAGCCUGACGGAGCAACGCCGCGUGAGUGAUGAAGGGUUUCGGCUCGUAAAACUCUGUUAUUAGGGAAGAACAAAUGUGUAAGUAACUGUGCACGUCUUGACGGUACCUAAUCAGAAAGCCACGGCUAACUACGUG